rnacentral:rRNA from 1 species
GACAGAGGGUGCAAACGUUGUUCGGAAUUACUGGGCGUAAAGCGUGUGUAGGCGGCCGCGCAAGUCGAGUGUGAAAGCCCCGGGCUUAACUUGGGAAUUGCGCUCGAAACUACGUGGCUGGAGUGUGGCAGAGGAAGGUGGAAUUCCAGGUGUAGCGGUGAAAUGCGUAGAGAUCUGGAGGAACACCGAUGGCGAAGGCAGCCUUCUGGGCCAACACUGACGCUCAUGCACGAAAGCGUGGGGAGCAAACAGG